AGCUCCAAUAGCGUAUAUUUAAGUUGUUGCGGUUAAAAAGCUCGUAGUCGUAUUUUUGGCGCAAAUACUGGUCCGCCCUUUGAGGGUGUGAAUCGGUGUUUGCGCCUUCUUCGUUGUACGGGACACGCUUCUGGGCUUAGUUGACCGGAACGUGCACUGUACGGGGUCACUUUGAGUAAAUUAGAGUGUUUAAAGCAGGCAUGCGCUCUGCAUAUUCCAUCGGUCUGCGGUACCGGGGUAAUGAUCGAUAGAGACGAUCGGGGACGUUCCUAUUUCGUUGUCAGAGGUGAAAUUCUUGGAUUUACGAAAGAGGAUCAACUGCGAAAGCAUCCGUCAAGGGGGUCCUCG
rnacentral:rRNA from 1 species